CACUGAUGGAGGAGCAGGGGGGUAUUCCAGAAAGCUUGAUUAACUUACCAUUUGAUAAACUAUAACCUCUGGGUUGAUUUACCCCAAACAGGCAUACCAUGAGUAUGUCGGUUCCAAAACACCUGAGAAGAGUUAGUUUAAUCAACCUCUUACUGGUUACCCAGAGUUAAUGCGCGUGCACGGUGCAUGUAUAAAGACAUUUUCAAUGGAUCGCCGAUUUCACGAGUCACCAUGGAAACUCAAAGCGAAAAAAAGAGAGCGGCGUAUUUCACAGAGGAGUUGGAAGUUUUAAUGCAUGCUUGUGAGGAGUUUGAGCCAAUAAUAUAAAAAAGAAGCAAUACAGCUGCAUCGGCUAAAGCAAGAGAGUUGGCUUGGCAAAAAAUAACGGACAGAGUAAAUGCGUGAGUGUAUUAAAUUACAAAUUUGGUAUUUGCUCCCGUUUUAUUGAAAUGCAAAAUAAUGAAGUAUGACUUAUACAUCCUUUUGAAUAUGUUAAAUCACUAUGAAAGCAUUUACUUUUCCUGCCAUUUAUUUCUUUAGCUUGAAAUAAUAAUGUAUAUUUCUUAUUUAAUAAGGUGUAAUCCUUCUGGAGCCACAAGAACUUUAAGCCAAGUCAAAAUGAAACACAAAAACAUUCUGCAAAAAGCUAACAGAAAGAAGACUGAAGCCCGUCUAACUGGCGGGGGGCCACCACAACCUCCCCUCACCCCAUCUGAGGAGCUGGCUCUGUCCCUUAAUAAAGGGCGACCAGUGGUUGCUGGCAUUCCAGGGGGCAGUUCAUCACACAUACUAUGCACCACAAGUGAUGGUGAAAAAAGGGUGAAAUAUGAAAAGUUUACCUCUAUGAUUUUUUUUUAAUUUUUUGUCCUGAUAAAUUACUAUCUCUGUCACUUAAAGGCUUUUUGAACAAGAUUAAUUUUUUAUGUAGGCUUAUUGUAUUUAACUGCAUAUGAUGUAUUAUUUUCUUUUAUAAUAUUGAGAAUUUAACGGGUUGUGUUUUCUUAUAGAUACUGAUGGACGGAUUGUAUUAUUGGACUCUCCAGAAAGAACACAGUCUGUCACAGUUGAUGAAGAUGAUGAUGACGAUGAAGAGACCACAUCUGCUGUGACAGAAGUGGACAAUGCUGGUAGAUCCACUGAGUACAUACCUAGGGAUUUGCCCACAGAUGAGGGUCCUUCAGCCUCAGCACACAAUCUAAGCAGGUUGCCAGCAAAGGAGCUGUAUAAGGUCCAUCUUCAAAAACAAAUAAGAAAAAGUGACAUGGAGAUGGACCUUAUACAGCUUCAAAUGGAAGAGAAAAGGCUCCUCAUUAAAAACGCAGCACUUGAAAUAGAAUUACUUGAGAAUCGCCUUAAGGAUCCUCGUCAAAAGGUCACGCCAUGCUCACCAACCUUCUGAAACGAAGUUACACUGAAACAUAACCUGCUCUCGAGCAGGUUGUCUUCAGAGAGUCAGUUGCUAUGGUUACAUACAUACCCAGAAAGUUACCUCUGUUUUUGGAACCGAACGUUGAGGUUAUCCACGAACUUACCCUUAAACAGACCCAGGUAUGUCACAUAACCUGCUUUUUGGAAUACCCCCCAGAUCUGCCAGUUU